rnacentral:rRNA from 1 species
UACAGAGGAUGCAAACGUUGCUCGGAAUUACUGGGCGUAAAGCGCGCGCAGGUGGUCUCGUAAGUCGGGCGUGAAAGCCCGGGGCUCAACCUCGGAAGUGCACUCGAUACUGCAGGACUUGAGUACUGGAGAGGAUCGCGGAAUUCCCGGUGUAGAGGUGAAAUUCGUAGAUAUCGGGAGGAACACCAGUGGCGAAGGCGGCGAUCUGGACAGAUACUGACACUGAGGCGCGAAAGCGUGGGAAGCAAACAGG